rnacentral:rRNA from 1 species
GAAGUUAAAGGCUGUGGCUUAACCAUAGUACGCUUUGGAAACUGUUUAACUNGAGUGCAGAAGGGGAGAGUGGAAUUCCAUGUGUAGCGGUGAAAUGCGUAGAUAUAUGGAGGAACACCGGUGGCGAAAGCGGCUCUCUGGUCUGUAACUGACGCUGAGGCUCGAAAGCGUGGGGAGCGAACAGGAUUAGAUACCCUGGUAGUNCACGCCGUAAACGAUGAGUGCUAGGUGUUAGGCCCUUUCCGGGGCUUAGUGCCGCAGCUAACGCAUUAAGCACUCCGCCUGGGGAGUACGACCGCAAGGUUGAAACUCAAAGGAAUUGACGGGGGCCCGCACAAGCGGUGGAGCAUGUGGUUUAAUUCGAAGCAACGCGAAGAACCUUACCAGGUCUUGACAUCCCGAUGCCCGCUCUAGAGAUAGAGUUUUACUUCGGUACAUCGGUGACAGGUGGUGCAUGGUUGUCGUCAGCUCGUGUCGUGAGAUAUUGGGUUAAGUCCCGCAACGAGCGCAACCCUUAUUGUUAGUUGCCAUCAUUCAGUUGGGCACUCUAGCGAGACUGCCGGUAAUAAACCGGAGGAAGGUGGGGAUGACGUCAAAUCAUCAUGCCCCUUAUGACCUGGGCUACACACGUGCUACAAUGGCUGGUACAACGAGUCGCAAGUCGGUGACGGCAAGCUAAUCUCUUAAAGCCAGUCUCAGUUCGGAUUGUAGGCUGCAACUCGCCUACAUGAAGUCGGAAUCGCUAGUAAUCGCGGAUCAGCACGCCGCGGUGAAUACGUUCCCGGGCCUUGUACACACCGCCCGUCACACCACGAGAGUUUGUAACACCCGAAGUCGGUGAGGUAACCUUUUAGGAGCCA